UGGGGAAUAUUGCACAAUGGGGGAAACCCUGAUGCAGCGACGCCGCGUGAGCGAAGAAGGUUUUCGAAUCGUAAAGCUCUGUCCUAUGGGAAGAUAAUGACGGUACCAUAGGAGGAAGCCCCGGCUAACUACGUGCCAGCAGCCGCGGUAAUACGUAGGGGGCAAGCGUUGUCCGGAAUCACUGGGCGUAAAGGGUUCGCAGGCGGAAAUGCAAGUCAGUUGUGAAAGGCAGAGGCUCAACCUCUGUAAGCAAUUGAAACUGUAUUUCUUGAGAUGUGGAGAGGCAAGUAGAAUUCCUAGUGUAGCGGUAAAAUGCGUAGAUAUUAGGGAGAAUACCGGUGGCGAAGGCGACUUGCUGGACACAAACUGACGCUGAGGAACGAAAGCGUGGGUAGCAAACAGG
rnacentral:rRNA from 1 species